AGCACUGGGACUAUCUGAAGUCUCUGGAAGAAGCUGCAGGAAAUCCAGUUCUAUCAGAUUUCGCUUCAAAAAUUUUGGACCUUUGUUACUAGGUACAUAAACAUCUGAGGUGUUUAUUGGAGCUCUUUGCCUAGAACUGAUAAUUGGAUUCAUGGUAUUCUGGAGAACAAGGCACUCUCAUGGCCUUCAUAGCAUAGAAUGACUUCUGGCCUUGUACCUCCUCGUCACAAUGCCAAAUGAGUUGGCUCUGUGUGCUACAAGAGUUCUGGAGAACUAUCUAUGGAAACUACAAUGUAAUGACUAGCAAUAACUACUGUACGUAUAAGGAAAUGACUGCAAACCACACAGAUUCAUCCUGUUAAAUUCAAAGAUCAUUUAUUCAACUUUCCCAUAACCAAAUCACAAAAACACCUGUGGCUACUCUCAAGUCAACUGAUGCAAAGAGAAUUGUAAUGGAAGAGGGGCCAAGUGAAGAGAGAGAACAGUGGAAUCAUUUGUGGCUAAAAUGCCUUACUUUUGGAAAUCAACAUACAUUUUAUAUAUGUUUAUAUGUGUAUAUGAAAAGUAUAUAUGUAAAGGUUCAAAAAUAUAUAUGUGUACAAUGAAUUAUCUUAAUGCUAUCAAUUCUCAUGUACCCUGGAAAGAUUUUUGUAUACAUUGAGAAAUACAUGUACAGCUGAUUUUAAGAGUCCUACUGGACAUAAAUUCAGUCAGAUCUGAACUACAAAAGGGAAUAAAAAGUCUUGGGCUUGUUUAUUUAAA